GACUCAGUGGUGUAGUGGAAACAUACUUGUGUACAAUCAAGGAAAAAGUUGCAUAUGUAUGUAAGGGAUCCCUGUUCAACUCAGGGUUGGGUCA